rnacentral:rRNA from 1 species
UACGGAGGGUGCAAGCGUUAUCCGGAUUCACUGGGUUUAAAGGGUGCGUAGGCGGGUAGGUAAGUCAGUGGUGAAAUCUUCGAGCUUAACUUGGAAACUGCCUUUGAUACUAUCUAUCUUGAAUAUUGUGGAGGUAAGCGGAAUAUGUCAUGUAGCGGUGAAAUGCUUAGAUAUGACAUAGAACACCUAUUGCGAAGGCAGCUUACUACGCAUAUAUUGACGCUGAGGCACGAAAGCGUGGGGAUCAAACAGG